UUGGUAAAAGGGUUUCUGGCGUCAUCGCGCAGCGCUCGUUAUCGCAGCUCAGCCCGCUUUUACGCCACGCUCUCGGCCAUGCUGGAGUCUCGGAACAGGCCCUGACAUGGCGUGGAAAAGGCAUUUUUUCCCUUUUGAGCAACUUAAUCUGCUUUGUGAUCCUGUACAGUGUGUUUUGGGAGCGGGUGCUGUGCUGGUUUCGGGGGAAGCGAAAAUACAAGCGUGUGAAAGAUUUAACAGAGGGUGAUAAAGAGGUCUAAUGCAAAUCGUGCCUCUUCACCGGAGUGGAGAAGUGCUUUGCGCUUGUGUUUUGCAGUUUGCCAGCAGAGUGGGAGCAAAGUUAGCGCCCCAGCAAGCGCGAGCACGAGCAGUGUGUACAGGGAGGCUGCGCGAGCGCGGCGCCGCUGUGCGCAGAUCAACAGCUCGCUUCUGUUACCGUCCAGAGGAAGUUCAGCGCAAUACCAAGCUCUGCAAGGAUUUAACAGGUCGUUCAGGGUUGUUGUGGACGAGCUGUUCAUGUGUUUGGCCUCAGCAGGUCAGCUAGCUGCGCGCGUGUGUGCGCGUGUGUGUGUGCGCGCGCGUGCGUCCUCGGAGUACGUGACGAGCAAACAGGCGAGCAGGUCUGAUCACACCAGCGCCUCCGUGCAGCACAACGCUGGGGGUUAUCUUCAUGUCAGCAGGAAGAAAAAACAAACAUUCGUCGUGUUUAUCGUUCACCUCAGCAAAUUAAGAACAUGGAGGAUCUCACAGCCGAGAUCCCAAGCAACGAAAAGUCAUGUCAGACAGAUGAGCUGAACGAAAAAGCCCCAGUGCUCAGGCCAGAGCAUCUCAACCAAAUGCCAGCAUACUGUAUAGAGCCAGGAGAUCCUCCAUUGUUGCAGAGACAGCUGCAGACAUCCAAGUCUGGCAUUCAGCAGAUCAUUGAAUGUUUUCGCACAGGUACUACACAAUUGAAACACAUAUUGCUCAAAGAGGUGGACACGAUAUUUGAGUGCAAGCUCUGUCGGAGCCUUUUCCGUGGCCUUCCUAACCUAAUCACACAUAAGGAAUUCUACUGCUUUCCCAGGCUGCCAGAACCAGAAGAGCCCUCAGGAAACUGCAGGCAGAGUAUAGCCAUUAAAGAGCUCCUGGAGGUUAUUUAUCCCCGGCCUAAACAGGAGGAGCACGUGGUACGACUAGAGCCCAUACCAGGCAACCAGAACGCUGUGUUUCAACAUCUGACUAAACAGAGUGAUUUAGACCUUCACUCUCCCUGUCAAAGCUCCAACCACAGUAUGGAAGACUGGAAACACAACCAACCAGAGAACCAAGGGCAAGACAUGGGGGAACAUAAUACAGGUGGAGAAAGCGAGAAUGAGGAAGCAAAUGAAGAAGAUGGCGAAGCACAUACAAACAAAGAUGCUCAAGGAGAUGAAGAUGAGGAGGAACAGGAGGAUGCAGGUGAGGAGGAGGUGAUCGGUGGUGGCAUGGAUGACGUGACUAUCACGUGCUGCCUGUGCGGCAAAGACUUUAGUUCACGGCGCAGUGUACGCCGCCACUGCCGCGAAGUGCACAAGCAGCGGCUAGAGGAGCUGCGCAAGUUUACGGAGACACGCACAGUGCCCAUCAGCCUGCUGUCAGUGGUGAAGGAGCGCCAAGUGCACUCACCAGGGCCCAAUGGAAAAUGCUGCCCAGUCUGUUUCAAAACCUUUGCCACCAAAGCCAACGUCCGGCGCCACUUCGAUGAGGUGCACCGUGGCCUCCGGCGUGACCUGAUCUCACUUGAUAUCUCCACCAAGUCAAGUGAUCUGGAAGCCAUGCCUGUUGGGCCCUGUGCCCCUUGCUCUCCUAACCCUAAGACAGUUUCUCCCCUACCCCAGUACAACCUGGCCACCUGCAAGUGUCUCCUUUGCAAGAGGAGUUACAGCACGCAGGCACGGCUCAAGAGGCACAUGCAUUUUGUUCACAAGAUCCUUGCUUGCAAAAAUACUGUCUCCAGCUCUUCCACUGGCAAAAAGCUUCAAUCCGAGGAGGGCGCUGACACACAGCACACGCAUGAGCGCCUCAAGAGGCCCCGGGAGGAGGACAAAAAUGAGAAAUCUCCAGUGAUGCGCAAGCCCAAGCUCUCUGUGGGCUUUGACUUCAAACAGCUCUUCUGCAAGCUAUGUAAGCGGCAGUUCAGCUCACGCCAGAAUCUUGCCAAGCACAUCGAGCUGCACACAGAUAACGGCGGUGACAUUUUCAUUAAGUUCUACCGCUGCCCCCUGUGCCGCUAUGAAUCCCGCCGCAAGCGUGAUGUGCUUCGUCAUGUCGCUGUCGUACACAAGAAAAACUCCGCUUACCUGGCCAAGAUCCUGCCGGGUCUGGAGAGCCGUGCUGUGAAGAAGCCCGCUGAAACCGUGCUUGGCAGUUCAGUAAAGCGUGGCCACCCAAAAGACCCAGAUGACCAUCACAAAGGAGACACCACAUCACACAGCCUGCAGGAGGUUAGCCCUCCGUCUUCUGUGUCUCCUGUAAUCCGAAAACAGGAUGUUCGACCUCCAUCGCCACCAGUCACACGCAGGCAAAGCCUCUCUCUUCACACUCCGUCUGUCAUGUGCAACCAGAACUCAAAUGGAAUGUCCAAUGCUGAAGAGGCACAGGACAGCACUGAAGUACGCGUCACCAAGAACUUCUCAUUACAUGCAUGUGACAUGUGUGGCCGUGCCUUUGCCAAGAAGGUCUACCUGGAGUCGCAUAAGAGGAGCCACCGCAAUGCAACCAAGACUGAUGGCAGAACGGUGGGCGUGAGCACACGCUCAAAGUCCCUUCUUUGGUGAGUGGCAAGGUUCUGCUGAACAGAGGGAAGUUGUGAUUAUACUGUUAGCUGAGGCAACCUCUCACAUGCUAAUUGAUCAAGCUAUGAAGAUCCAAAUGGGAGUUUUCUUUAGAGUGGACCAACUUGAAGCUCUGACAGGAACCUAACAGAUCCAUUUUGGUGAAACACUGGAUUUCUGGCUGCAAGACAAGGAACAAAUGCUCAUGUCAAAAAUGAAGAAGAACUGGACCACAGAAUAAUGCUGCGAUUAUAAAUACCUGACUGUACUGGUUCAUAGCUUUGGUAUUUUGAUGGGCUUAUGUAGGUAAUAAAUAAGUUUGUUUGUUCCCUUUGGCUAUCCAUCUGUCUAGCCUGUCUAGACCUCACAGUGGAUGUUGUAAUUGAACUGUAUUAGAGGUGUUAACCACUAUUCCAGAGGGAAAAAAAAAACGAUCUAUUCUCUUAUUCGAUCUGCCUGCAGAUAUUGGUAACUGCAGUGUCUCAGUCUCAGCCAAGAAGUGGGGAAAGAUAUUGUUUCAGGAUCCAGUUUUAGUGGAUUAACCCCAGGCCAUGUAGGGAAGCUCCUGAGUUAAAGGCUAUAGCAGUGGUGCUGAUGAGGCAUCUAUAACUCAUUGGUAUUCAAUGCAAAUAUAUAUAUUUCCUUUUUUAUUACUGAGGGAAAAAGACCCACAACCGCUGGAAUGUUUCGUAUAUUUCUGUUUUUGGCCUUUAGACAGCCGUUAUUUAAGUUAAAAAAAAAAAAAAAACAUACAAAGGGAUAUCACUCGCUAUUUUUUUUUAAAUCAGAGGUUCAGAACGCAAUGUCUACAGACAUUCCAUAUGUUAAAAUAAAAGGAUCAUUUGUGAAAAGAUUAAAUGUCCCACACACAAAUCAUUUAAUUUACAAAAUUCUGAGUAAUACCUUUUUGGUCUUUACAGAUUAUUUAAAAUGUAUGUUUUGUGUUGAGAAGAUUUAAGGAUGGAGUUUUUUACUCAUCAUUUUUCAUGCAUUUUCCCAUAUUUGUGCAAGAUGUCUGUUGUCCACAGCAAAAGUAAUUCCUGCUGCAUUUAAAUUUAGGGGUUCAUUAUGUUUCAACAGACCUCAUUUUCUGUUAAUAUAUUAUUAAUGAUGAGAAUGUUAUAGAUCUAUACUUUUCUAACAGGGGCUAAAUGAAUGUAUCUAAAUACAAUUUUUUUCACCAAUAAAAACAUUGGAAUAUCUAG